AUCUAAAUCAAUAUCAGAUUUUAAGACUUCCAGCUGGCAGCCCGAGGUUCAUGGCUUCAAUCAUGCCAUGUGGUGUGCCUCUGGUAGGUAUUGUAGGGGCCAUGUCUGACAAAAAUGGGUCGUUGAAAUGUACCGACUGAUAUCUCCCAAACCUAACUAUCUAUUUGCUUAGGAGUUUAUUAGUGAGUUCAGGGAAUUUCCAACCCUCUCAAACUCAAUGAAAUAGUAAAAUAUAUCAUUAUAUUUUUUCAUUAGAAAUAGCCUGCCAUAAAAAAUAAUCGGCAAGUGACUACAUGACAUACUUACUAGCGACUCCUGUGAGCCAAGCUUUUGCUACUGGUAGGACUAAGUUAUGGAUUUAGUUGGAUCAUGUUACAAAUUUGGACAGACAAGGAUAGUGACUGGUGAGGUGAAGUUACUACUAAUUUUGAUGGGGCCAGGCUACUAUUUCUAGUAGAGCAAGAUUACUGAUUUUAGUGGUAAAAAGUUUCUAGUGUCAGUGAGGCUUAGCCAAUUUCAGGAGCUAUGUUUCUAAUUCAUUAUGUGAGGUUCCUGAUUUCAUGGGGCUGGGUUACUAUUUUGGUGAGCUAGGUUUCUAAUUCAUGAUGUGAGGUUCCUGAUUUCAUGGGGCUGGGUUACUAUUUUGGUGAGCUAGGUUUCUAAUUCAUGAUGUGAGGUUACUGAUUUCGUGGGGCUGGGCUAUUAAUUUGGCGAGUUAGGUUUCUUAUUUUAGUGGGGUCUGUGUUACUUGUUAGUAGGGAAAAAAAGGCCUAACCUGUGUGCCCUAUCCUUUUUCAUCACAUAUUGUCAGAACAACUGAACACAUUGUGUUAAACAUAAUUUUCCACAGAAGAGGGAAUGCCUGAUGAAAAGAAUCGACUAGUGCAAAGGGGUGUGGGUGGAGAGUUUUUCUGUAGCCAAGUCUUCCCCCCUCUGACCUUGUCCUCCUUCCCCUCACCUCCACCUCUCCCCAGCUGCUGCCAUGCCAGCCAUGUUGUGUUCCAAGCAUGUUUUGUGUAGAGAAAUUGUACUAAGGAAUUAGGCAAACAGCUUCCCAAUAGCAUUUCUCCCAUUGAUGUUCACUUUCUAGAGUGGAAUAGGAAGAUUGCUGGAACCCAAUUUGAUAACUUUUAGGAUCUUAUAUCUAUGAUUAUUUUUAGGAGCGGCUUGUUGAAUUUUUUUGUAUGAUCAUUUUUAGUAGCUGCUUGUUGAAUUUUUUUCCUGUCUACCCUUAGAUUAAAAAAAAAAAAAAAAAAAAAAA